GACGAACGCUGGCGGCGUGCCUAACACAUGCAAGUCGAGCGAGAAGAACUCCUUCGGGAGGGACUCUAGCGGCGGACGGGUGAGUAACACGUGGGUAACCUGCCUUGUAGUGGGGAAUAGCCUUCCGAAAGGAAGAUUAAUACCGCAUAAGAUUGUAGCUUCGCAUGGAGCAGCAAUUAAAGGAGCAAUUCGCUACAAGAUGGACCCGCGGCGCAUUAGCUAGUUGGUGAGGUAAUGGCUCACCAAGGCGACGAUGCGUAGCCGACCUGAGAGGGUGAUCGGCCACAUUGGGACUGAGACACGGCCCAGACUCCUACGGGUGGCUG
rnacentral:rRNA from 1 species